rnacentral:rRNA from 1 species
AGUGAACGCUGGCGGUAGGCCUAACACAUGCAAGUCGAACGGCAGCACAGUAAGAGCUUGCUCUUACGGGUGGCGAGUGGCGGACGGGUGAGGAAUACAUCGGAAUCUACUUUUUCGUGGGGGAUAACGUAGGGAAACUUACGCUAAUACCGCAUACGACCUACGGGUGAAAGCAGGGGAUCUUCGGACCUUGCGCGAUUGAAUGAGCCGAUGUCGGAUUAGCUAGUUGGCGGGGUAAAGGCCCACCAAGGCGACGAUCCGUAGCUGGUCUGAGAGGAUGAUCAGCCACACCGGAACUUAGACACGGUCCCGACUCCUACGGGAGGGCGCAGUUGGGAAUAUUGGACAAUGGGCGCAAGGCUGAUCCAGCCAUACCGCGUGGGUGAAGAAGGCCUUCGGGUUGUAAAGCCCUUUUGUUGGGAAAGAAAAGCAGCAGGUUAAUACCCCGCUGUUCUGACGGUACCCAAAGAAUAAGCACCGGCUAACUUCGUG